CUCCACAAUAAAUGUGGAUCUCCGGCUUACUCCACAAUAAAUGCGGAUCUCCAGCUUACUCCACCAUAAAUGCGCAUGGCUCCUGUCAUCUACGGACUCUCAGCUCUCCACGGCAAAUCAGCCCAGCAGAGUCUAGUCAACUAUGAUAGGUCUCCGAUCUCGGCCAUACCUCCGACACCAAUGCAAUAAUUUGUCUGACAGCGUGCUAGUUCGGGUUAUACGACGCCCUCACCGCCGACAUCAGGGCAAUGAUUCGCCUGACCAUGCGCCGACCUGAACAACAUGCCGAGCCGUACUACGGCCUCGCCCUGUUACAUCGCAGGUAAACCAACCCCCGCCUAUAAAAGGGAGCCUUG
rnacentral:lncRNA from 1 species